rnacentral:rRNA from 1 species
GGACGGGUGAGUAACACGUGGGAACGUGCCUUUUGGUUCGGAAUAGCUCCUGGAAACGGGUGGUAAUGCCGAAUGUGCCCUUCGGGGGAAAGAUUUAUCGCCAUUAGAGCGGCCCGCGUCUGAUUAGCUAGUUGGUGAGGUAAAGGCUCACCAAGGCGACGAUCCGUAGCGGGUCUGAGAGGAUGAUCCGCCACACUGGGACUGAGACACGGCCCAGACUCCUACGGGAGGCAGCAGUGGGGAAUUUUGGACAAUGGGCGCAAGCCUGAUCCAGCCAUGCCGCGUGAGUGAAGGAGGCCUUCGGGUUGUAAAGCUCUUUCGCGAGGGAAGAAAUGGCGUCGGCUAAUACCUGGCGUCGAUGACGGUACCUUGAUAAGAAGCACCGGCUAACUACGUGCCAGCAGCCGCGGUAAUACGUAGGGUGCGAGCGUUAAUCGGAAUUACUGGGCGUAAAGCGUGCGCAGGCGGUUUUGUAAGACAGGCGUGAAAUCCCCGGGCUCAACCUGGGAAUUGCGCUAGUGACUGCAAGGCUAGAGUAUGGCAGAGGGGGGUAGAAUUCCACGUGUAGCAGUGAAAUGCGUAGAUAUGCGGAGGAACACCGAUGGCGAAGGCAAUCCCCUGGACCUGUACUGACGCUCAUGCACGAAAGCGUGGGGAGCAAACAGAAUUAGAUACCCUGGUAGUCCACGCCCUAAACGAUGUCAACUGGUUGUUGGGAGGGUUUCUUCUCAGUAACGUAGCUAACGCGUGAAGUUGACCGCCUGGGGAGUACGGCCGCAA